GGUGAGUGUCCUAGAAAUCUAUUCUAGAGUUUUUGAGUGAAGAAGAAGUCAAAAGAGAAGAGAGUUCUCCCUCCAUCUUUCUAUCACUAGUUCCUCCUUCUUCCUACAAUUUCAGAGGAGUCUGAGAGAUCUAUAGGAGGAGAAGAUCAGCCAUCUACAAGUUUCUAAGCGAGCUAGCACUCCCGCAGAAGUUGAUCAGCGUGGUGCUUCGAGUGGAUCAUCUGUAGAGG
rnacentral:lncRNA from 1 species